AGAAAUCCUAGAAAACAGAAAGCAACAGGAAGAUGUCUUAUUGGGAACUACCCCCAUCAACUUCACCAUGAGUCAAACAAGGAAGAAAACUUCCUCAGAAGGAGAAACUAAGCCCCAGACUUCAAUUGUCAACAAAUUUCUCAGGGGCUCCAAUGCUGAAAGCAGAAAAGAAGACAAUGACCUUAAAACAACUGAUUCCCAACCCAGCGACUGGAUACAGAAGACAGCCACCUCAGAGACUGCUAAGCCUCUCAGUUCAGAAAUGGAAUGGAGAUCCAGUAUGGAGAAAAAUGAGCAUUUCCUGCAGAAGCUGGGCAAAAAGGCUGUCAACAAGUGUCUAGAUUUGAAUAACUGUGGAUUAACAACAGCGGACAUGAAAGAAAUGGUUGCCUUGCUGCCUUUUCUCCCAGACUUGGAAGAACUGGAUAUCUCCUGGAAUGGUUUUGUAGGUGGAACCCUCCUUUCCAUCACUCAGCAAAUGCAUCUGGUCAGCAAGUUAAAAAUCUUGAGGCUGGGUAGCUGCAGACUCACCACUGACGAUGUUCAAGCACUGGGAGAAGCACUUGAGAUGAUUCCUGAACUUGAAGAGCUAAAUUUGUCUUGGAACAGUAAAGUGGGAGGAAAUUUGCCUCUGAUCCUUCAGAAGUUCCAAAAAGGGAGCAAGAUACAAAUGAUUGAGCUUGUGGAUUGCUCCCUCACAUCAGAAGAUGGGACAUUUCUGGGUCAACUGCUACCUAUGCUGCAAAGUCUCGAAGUACUUGAUCUUUCCAUCAACAGAGACAUUGUUGGCAGUCUGAACAGUAUUGCUCAGGGAUUAAAAAGCACCUCAAAUCUGAAAGUACUGAAGUUACAUUCAUGUGGAUUAUCACAAAAGAGUGUCAAAAUAUUGGAUGCUGCUUUUAGGUAUUUGGGUGAGCUGAGGAAAUUAGAUCUUUCCUGCAAUAAGGAUCUAGGUGGAGGUUUUGAAGACUCGCCGGCUCAGUUGGUCAUGCUAAAGCAUCUACAAGUCCUAGAUCUUCACCAGUGCUCACUAACAGCAGAUGACGUGAUGUCACUGAACUCUUAUCUCUCAAUUUGGGAAAAUGGGAAGAAUUCAAGACUUUCAUGAAGAUUUAAAAAUGACAAAAUAAUCCCUUUUUGAGCUUUGCGUGAAGCAUUAUGGGUUCCUAACAUCCCCUUUACUUAUCAUAGCCUGAGCGUCAUACCUAGGAAGACAUUCAGAGUUAUUAGCCCACCAGAUUCCCUUGGUACAACUAAAUAACAUGAAUACUACAUCUCAUUUUGCUCCUCAGUGCUGGAGAACCUCAAUUGUUCCCACUAGUAUAACGGAGGACUAAGCUUUCCUUACCUAGGUUCACAGCCACUGACAUGGGUGAAUGGCCCUGGAAAACUAAUAAUUAUUUGAUAACUGUAAUGAAUUGCAUUGCUUUCCUUCUGCUUAAUUCUGAAAAGAUGGAAAUGAAAAUACAUCCUGCUUUAUACUUUACGCUGUUAAAUAAUUGAACAUUCUUUUAUCCGAUCAUUGUAAAUUGCUCCAAAGAAAUGGAAUUAUAGAUCCUUUAAGCAAU
rnacentral:sRNA from 1 species